AUUCACGGUCAUGCCACCCUGAAUGCGCCCUAUCUCAUCUGAUCUCAGAAGCUGAGCAGCAUCAGGUAUGGUUAGUAUUUGAUGGAAGAAAAGCGAUGAGUUCUGUGAAGC
ensembl:rRNA n-R5s187 nuclear encoded rRNA 5S 187